UUUGGAAUAGUAAGGCAAGAAGUCACACUGAAGCCCACUGUGAACCAGCCAAUCUCCAGCAUCACAUGGAAAAGUGACCUGAACAAAGCAGCAGAGUGGGAAACAGGUCAAUCAGAGCCUGAUUAUUAUACCAUAUGUAAUCCCGGAUCAAGGUGUCAACUGGAUCAUACAACUGGGGUGCUUAAAAUUAGACAUUUAGAGCAGAAUGAAAAACUGGAUUUAUCUGCUGAGAUCAAUGGAAUGGCAGCUCAGUCAUUUUUUACAGUGAUUGCACUUGAACUAGAGUCCAAACCCAGUAUUAGACCAAACUGCAGCAAUACCCAGUGUACUUUGGUCUGUGAGGGAGAGAACACCACAUAUACCAAGUACUCCUGGAAGGAGAA